UGGGGAAUAUUGGGCAAUGGGCGAGAAGCCUGACCCAGCGACGCCGCGUAAGGGAAGAAGGUCUUCGGAUUGUAAACCUUUGUCAACAGGGAAGAAAAAAAUGACGGUACCUGUGGAGGAAGCCACGGCUAACUACGUGCCAGCAGCCGCGGUAAUACGUAGGUGGCGAGCGUUAUCCGGAUUUACUGGGUGUAAAGGGUGUGUAGGCGGGACUGCAAGUCAGAUGUGAAAACUAUGGGCUUAACUCAUAAAGUGCAUUUGAAACUGUGGUUCUUGAGAGCGGAAGAGGUGAAUAGAAUUCCCGGUGUAGCGGUGAAAUGCGUAGAUAUCGGGAGGAAUACCGGUGGCGAAGGCGAUUCACUGGGCCGCAACUGACGCUGAGACACGAAAGCGUGGGGAGCAAACAGG
rnacentral:rRNA from 1 species